GACGAACGCUGGCGGCGUGCCUAAUACAUGCAAGUCGAACGAACUCUGGUAUUGAUUGGUGCUUGCAUCAUGAUUUACAUUUGAGUGAGUGGCGAACUGGUGAGUAACACGUGGGAAACCUGCCCAGAAGCGGGGGAUAACACCUGGAAACAGAUGCUAAUACCGCAUAACAACUUGGACCGCAUGGUCCGAGCUUGAAAGAUGGCUUCGGCUAUCACUUUUGGAUGGUCCCGCGGCGUAUUAGCUAGAUGGUGGGGUAACGGCUCACCAUGGCAAUGAUACGUAGCCGACCUGAGAGGGUAAUCGGCCACAUUGGGACUGAGACACGGCCCAAACUCCUACGGGAGGCAGCAGUAGGGAAUCUUCCACAAUGGACGAAAGUCUGAUGGAGCGACGCCGCGUGAGUGAAGAAGGGUUUCGGCUCGUAAAACUCUGUUGUUAAAGAAGAACAUAUCUGAGAGUAACUGUUCAGGUAUUGACGGUAUUUAACCAGAAAGCCACGGCUAACUACGUGCCAGCAGCCGCGGUAAUACGUAGGUGGCAAGCGUUGUCCGGAUUUAUUGGGCGUAAAGCGAGCGCAGGCGGUUUUUUAAGUCUGAUGUGAAAGCCUUCGGCUCAACCGAAGAAGUGCAUCGGAAACUGGGAAACUUGAGUGCAGAAGAGGACAGUGGAACUCCAUGUGUAGCGGUGAAAUGCGUAGAUAUAUGGAAGAACACCAGUGGCGAAGGCGGCUGUCUGGUCUGUAACUGACGCUGAGGCUCGAAAGUAUGGGUAGCAAACAGGAUUAGAUACCCUGGUAGUCCAUACCGUAAACGAUGAAUGCUAAGUGUUGGAGGGUUUCCGCCCUUCAGUGCUGCAGCUAACGCAUUAAGCAUUCCGCCUGGGGAGUACGGCCGCAAGGCUGAAACUCAAAGGAAUUGACGGGGGCCCGCACAAGCGGUGGAGCAUGUGGUUUAAUUCGAAGCUACGCGAAGAACCUUACCAGGUCUUGACAUACUAUGCAAAUCUAAGAGAUUAGACGUUCCCUUCGGGGACAUGGAUACAGGUGGUGCAUGGUUGUCGUCAGCUCGUGUCGUGAGAUGUUGGGUUAAGUCCCGCAACGAGCGCAACCCUUAUUAUCAGUUGCCAGCAUUAAGUUGGGCACUCUGGUGAGACUGCCGGUGACAAACCGGAGGAAGGUGGGGAUGACGUCAAAUCAUCAUGCCCCUUAUGACCUGGGCUACACACGUGCUACAAUGGAUGGUACAACGAGUUGCGAACUCGCGAGAGUAAGCUAAUCUCUUAAAGCCAUUCUCAGUUCGGAUUGUAGGCUGCAACUCGCCUACAUGAAGUCGGAAUCGCUAGUAAUCGCGGAUCAGCAUGCCGCGGUGAAUACGUUCCCGGGCCUUGUACACACCGCCCGUCACACCAUGAGAGUUUGUAACACCCAAAGUCGGUGGGGUAACCUUUUAGGAACCAGCCGCCUAAGGUGGGACAGAUGAUUAGGGUG
rnacentral:rRNA from 1 species